rnacentral:rRNA from 1 species
UUAAUUGAAGAGUUUGAUCAUGGCUCAGAUUGAACGCUGGCGGCAGGCCUAACACAUGCAAGUCGAGCGGAAACGGCAGUAUUGAAGCUUCGGUGGAUUUACUGGACGUCGAGCGGCGGACGGGUGAGUAACGGCUGGGAACCUGCCCUGACGAGGGGGAUAACCGUUGGAAACGAC